UCCAAAUGAUGAAUUAACCAAUUGAGACCGCCGCUGUAGUUCGCCUGCCUCGAGACCUCGCCUCCUCCGUUGUCCUUACUUUCUCCGUUCAGAGGCUGCACGCAGCGCCUGACCGCCUCCAUUGUGGCGCUCCGUCUCUGCCUCACGGACUCCGCCGCCGACAGUCCCAACCCCCCACGAAAGCUAAGCAUUUUAUUUCAAAAUCUUGCUCAAAGUUCGAUAUUUGAAAAUUCAAACAUUUGGUUAUUGAUUUCAAACUUUUAGUUUUGGGAGCAAUUACCUCCGUUGAAAAAAAGUUGCAAGAAUAGGGAUAACUCUCUUGACUGUUGUUCUUGAUUUCUGACAAAAUCAUAUGAGCUUGAUUUGUAAGAGAUUGGAGGUUUAAGGAGAUGAAUUUGGAAUGUAAUCUAUUGAGGUUGAAAUAGGAAGUGUCGUGCUCCUUUCUCUCUUUCUCUUACUUUAGAAUUUUUUAUAGUGAAAUGUGAAAUUUGGGAUGAAAUUCUUUAUAGGUUGUGAGAAUCUGCUGGGUAUAAACCGUGGUGUUGUGUAAAAGGGGUUGAUUUUGGUGUAAUUGGAGCAGAUUGGUGAAGAACUCUUCCUUCGUCACGAGAAAUCAUGAAGAACUCGCCGGCUGCUGUGGCAGGGCAGUAUUUUUCUUUCACAACAAGACCUUGCCGAUUAUCCCUACCCUCGGAAGUAUUAUGUACAGUGAAAGCCUACAGCAUAUGCUCAGUCGGAGGACAACACCAACAUCUUGACUGCUGGAGUCAUGGGUAUUGUACAAAGUCGGGAAAGUUAGAGCUGUUCAAUUCGAAUGGUAUAAUUUUGGUUGAGUUCCUCGCCCUAUGGAGCGGUCAUUGUAAAGCUUUGAUAUCUGCGUGGGAGAAGGCAGCUACACUAGCUCAGCUAACUUUUUGUUGAAGAACUUAGUGCUUUCUAGAGAUGAUGAAGAAGGUGCCGAAGGUGGGAGUGCAGUGAGGGGCAGCGAUGGAGCACGAGUGGCAGUGCUGUAGAGCCUGUGUUUUCUGUACGGGGACAAGAGGGCAGAUAAGGAGCUCCCACAAGUGGGCUAAGUCAGAGGCCAUUCUGAGGGAGUUGGCGAUGCUAUGACAGUGCAGAUGCACGCUGAUCUAGCUUCGGAGGGCGGCAGUAAGCUAAGAUGCUCAUAACAUACUCUGACAAUCUUCCCACAAGCAAUCAUCAUCGCUCAAAUCUGGCGCAUUCAAAAUCUCAACUGCCAUUUGCUAAUGAUUCUUGAUUUCAGACACAAUAAUCUGGUUUUUAUUUCUGGUUGGAGGUGUGCGUAAAAGGGGUUUUGUGUAGAAAGGCGACAACAACGCUGGCUUCGCCAGUGGCAGAUGGCAGCUUCAGACAACUGAGACCAUGGCGAAGAGAAAACAGAUGGCAGCUUCAGACAACUGAGACCACGGCGAAGAGAAAACAGGAGAGACUGAAAGGAGGUUGAUUGAUUACAUGGUAUAUUUAAUAAUCUUCAAGCAUGUUGAUUCGCUGUCGGUGGCUGAUAGUGACUGAACGCUGGACGUUGUGAAAAUGUGAUUGUUCUGUUUGAAAACUAUACUACUCCACAAAACUAUUCUAAUCAACAUGUUUCAAUGUAACUUUAAUUCUCAAUUUAUUUAAUUUUACCUUUGUAA